rnacentral:rRNA from 1 species
UUCGGGUGAGGCAAGCGUUGUUCGGAAUCACUGGGCUUAAAGCGCGUGUAGGCGGCUCGGUAAGUACCUUGUGAAAUCCCUUCUCUCAAUGAAGGAACUGCUUGGUAUACUGCCGGGCUGGAGGCAGGUAGGGGUCACUGGAACUCUAGGUGGAGCGGUGAAAUGCGUAGAUAUCUAGAGGAACGCCCGUGGCGAAAGCGGGUGACUGGGCCUGUCCUGACGCUGAGACGCGAAAGCGUGGGUAGC